rnacentral:misc_RNA from 1 species
GGUUCAGUUAAAGCUGCAAUAACAUAACAUAGAACAUAGUUAGUUCAACUCCAACAUACACAUCUAUAUAAGAAAAGAUGAAAAAAGUAGAGGCAGUCAUCAUAGGAAGUAAAAUAUUCAUGCUACCACACUACUCGAACACUUGCAAGGAAGGACACAGACAAUGAAUGUCUUAAAAAGAAAGAGAGAGAGAGAGAGUCCAAGCAACAAACUAAGCAGAAAUGUCCACCACAUUUCAGAAAUGACAUCAAUAAAUUUGUCAAACUAACUGCACAAACUUUCCAAUGGAUUUUUGAUCUUUAAUGAUUCUGUUCAAUGCAAGACAACCCAAUAGGCUUACACUAAUCUGUCACACAACUAAUUAUAUGAUGCGGUUGCACUCUCUAAUUUUUUAGUCUGUAGAGGUGCAAGCAAUUUAGAAUUUAACUGUGAGCAAGCGAAACCAGGUCCAAAUGCCAUAAGGCCCAUAACAGCGUAACCCAAGCCAAAUCUAUUGUUUCUUUUAGCUUAAUAAAAAACUAGUGGACAACUGUAAUGUCAUAAAUUUGUUCAUUAUCCAGCCAAAUAAUACUGGAACUCCACCAAAAUUGUGUGAGGGAAUUAGGUAUGCAUAAUGUGAUAACAGAUGUCACAUUUUUUGAAAUUAUGGAUCUAACCUUAUAUGCAAAGUUUGUUAAUCCCUUAGAAGCAAAGAGUCUUAAUGUUCUUGUGUUAUAAUAUUCAAUAUGGAGCCCAGAAGAUACAGAAUAUGACAUACCAGUGAUGGUAGUGCUAAAGCUCUCU